AGCAUGUCCACGUAUUAGGGCAUCCUUCCCCAGCCUUUCAUCCCAUCUAAUUCUCUUUCUUUUUCUCUCUCAACCCUAGAAGCAAAAGAGUGAGGAACUUUUGGAGAAGUGGCAGAUUUCAUGUUGUGGACUUGAUAGGAGCUGCCAAGUAGCACGAGUUGGCUGAGGAGGCUUGGGAUCUUGAGGUUGGUCGGGCUGCGGAGGAGAUUGAUUGCUUUGGUGUAUUGAGUUGAGGGAAAGAGUUCUUGAGCAGAAUUUCUUGUGGCUGGAGCAUCCAACUAAGCUGCCUUGAUGAGUUUUGGGCACCCGAAUUAGAGAAGGAAACUUGAUGGAGCUUCUUGCUGAGCCGAAUUGAGAAGGACCUGAGAGGAGAGCUUCAGAGGAGAUUAGACGUGUUUGGAAGUUCGAAUCGACAUUUCGACGAUCCUACCGCACGCUAUUUAAAAAAUGCUUCGUUCUAGCUCUAGUUGCACCGAGUCGCGAGAGCUCGUUGUUGAUACAGUUCGAGACGUUAAUUCCAGUCUUUGGCAUCCCUACAGGUCGCUCCUCCUGGAACGAUGAGCUCCGGAGUAGUCAUCUCAACUGGAUCAGGAGCUAGCGUCUCCCCCAGUAGACAGUCCCGUCGGGAUGUAGCUUGCGCUUUCUUGAUACUUGGGAUUUCCUCGACCUAGUGAGUAAGUCGGCGAGGUCGGCAGCCGAACCCACUGGGAACUUUCAGUAGUUCUCACGCCACUAACCAUGCAGGUUCUAGUUCGUGCGGGGUGAUCGAGGAUCGUGUUAUGGACAGCGUUCCAUAGAUAGUGGACAUCCAUCGAGUAUAGUGGUACCUUGUAUAUUUCAUCUGUUUAUAGUUGAUGAAAGCAAAUGUAAAUUAUUCAUUUGAGAGAUGGCAAUGUAUAUAUUGAAAGAAUGAAUGUAAUAAUUAUGCAAGCUUUGUAUUUGAUUUAAAGUAAUCCAGAUACAAUGUAUGAAUGGUUUAGUUAGUUUACUUUCACUUGUGCUUGUUGCUUGCCCUCAUGCAAGCCAUGUAGAUUGAAAUGUUAUCCUGGGAUUGUUUCUUUCUCUAUA